rnacentral:lncRNA from 1 species
UCUUUUCUUCCCCAACUCGAGCCGCUGCUUCGACGAAUUCUCAACCCUAGCAACUCGUCUUUUUCGUAUGAUUCUCACAUCUCUCCGACCACUAGGUUGGUUCUUCACUCUCUUCUCUAGUUCCGUGUAGUUUUUGAGUUUGUGAUUGAUUUGAGAGUUAGGGUUUCUGUCGAAAUCAAUUAGGGGUUUAUGAUUCAGCUUGAAUGAUGGAUCGAUUAUCAGUGUGAGAGUGUCUCUAAGUGUUUGAUUUGGAUAGAAUGAUGAGUUCGGAUGAAUUUAAGAUUUAGGAUUUUGGUCGAAAUCGGUUUGGGGUUAGAUGUUUAGGGUGGGUUCAGGUCGAAGGGUUGGUCGAUUAUGAGUGUCUUGUGUUUGUCCAUCGAUACUCUUUGUCUCUCUUUAACUUGAUUUUUUUCAUCUUAUUAUCAGGAGUAAAUCAUGCUGAUAAAAAGAAAAGAUCGACUUUCCUUUCCAUUGUGUAGAGAAUCGAAUCUCAUCAUUAGAUUUAGAGGUAAUGUUAACAUGUCUCGACAGCUUUGUGUCUUUUGUGUUUCUGUCUGUUUUUCCAGUGAUUUUCUGACUUUAAUAAGUUGCAGGUUGCAGGUUGGUGGAGUUCAAGCGUAAUGGUGACCUUUAGUUUCUAUUGUUUUGUUUUGUCACUCUUUGUGAUUUGUUGGACAUUAUAAUUGUUGGACAUUAUAGAUUUAAAGAUUUAGAAUGUUGGAUCUUUUUCGUUGAUUGAUAAAGAAUGAACAAUAUAUAUGCUGGUUUUGUUGAAUAUGCUUGUUUUGCUGAUAAAUGUGAAUUUUUCAAGUCAU